UCCCUGGUGGCUCAGAUGGUAAAGCAUCUGCCUGCAAUGCUGGAGACCUGGGUUCAAUCCCUGGGUUGGGAA
rnacentral:tRNA from 1 species